AUGUCUUCAUGGUGCUUGCCGAGGAGCAGGGUCGUUGAGGAAAAGUGGUGGUUGGGGAGGAGGACUCCCUUGUCCUUGGUGUCCGGGCCGCCAUGGCUGACGCCGGAGCCGUUGGCUGGCCUUGAGGUCGUCAGUCGUUUGCGUCCUCGUCAUCAAUCCAACAACCAGGUCCUCGAUCCAUCUGCGGCCGCUGCACCUCCACAGUACGGCCGCCGCCUUUUUGUUUCCCUCUUGUGUUCAUCAUCUCAGAAAUUUUAUUGGCACUGGAUCAUGCGGGAGGAGAUCCCUGAGGCAUUUGGUUCUUGUGGGAUUCUCACACAUCUUGCAAGAUCAACAACAAGUGGCUGAGUCUUUACAUUAUUCAGAAAAUCUAUUUUUAUCUUUCAUUUAUUUGUCUAAUUUAUGUGCCCGUGUCCUUGCCUCCGUUUCGCUCUUAUUGAAGUUCCAACGAAUUUCUGUGCUACAUAAGAAGUACUAAUGCUAAUAUAUUACAAUUUGGUAUCCACAACCUUCAGUCACGGGAUCUUGAGAAAAGCACAUUAGGCAUUUUGUUUGUGUCAACUAUACAGAAUCUGCAAAGCCUUUUUUUUGUGCAGAAAAAUUCACACUCUGCAUUAGUUGCAAAGAUACUGAUUUUGAUCUUAACAAUUAUAGUUGUUGUUCAAGCAGUAGGAGAUCUGGCAACCUCACGGGCAUCUCAUUCAGAAUUCACGUCCUAUCUUCAGAGUUUAGCUUAGCGUAUUUUUUAUUUUCUGCUUUAAAUUAUUUUCCUCAUGUGACACAAAAGGCUUGAAGCCUUCUCUUAACUCACACUUCUAUGCUAACUGAACUUAUUUCUGGUUGUAAGAUGAGUUCAUAGCGAAGCAGGCCAACAUCUUCGUUGCACUGCAUCGACUGCAUAUGACACAAAAAUUGGUGUUCAAGCACACAGCUGCUGUAUUUUGUAAAUCGUGACGUGUUCAUAUGAUUUUGUUUACUGAAGGUAUUAGUUUUUUCGAAGCCUUUUUGUCUACAACUUUGCUACUUCAAAUUUUUUUGUCAGCCAGAGACGCUCAUGGUUCUAUCUGCUGUCUACUUUUACUAAAAGUUCAAAUACUUGCUGUUAGUAUGAAUGAUCUUUCGCUACUUUAAGUUUUUGUUAUGGUCUUGUGUGCCGAUUCAUGAUUUAAACACUCAAAAUGUCUGGUUCGCAUAUUUGUGCCUAGCCCUAUUACCAGCAGUGUAUUUUUUUGCCGAAAGAAAGAUAACAGUGCUUUGUUUCUUUAACUUUUCGGCCGUGUCUAAUUUCUCGUAAAAGAGAGAAUUUGAUAGAGACAGACAACCUGAAGAUCUGUGAACGUUCGAGUGUGCAACCUCCUCGCCGCUGCUGUUGCGUAGCUGGCAGCAGUAUGUGGCUGCUGCCGAGAUAUGUGCAGUUUACUCUAGGUUUGGUGAUGGUUUUGAAAAACACCUGUCAACGAAUUUAGUAGCAUUGUGGGAUGAUAAACCAAUUUUUUCUGUUUUCUUUGCUCACAGAGUAAGAAUAUGCGUGCAAGUUCUUUUCCCUAGGAUGUAAUUUCUUUUGCUGAGAUCGAUUAAGCCUGGGUCAAGGUGGCUGUUGCCGGUUGCCCAAUACUUGUUUGUUGUAAUGCCUUACUCAGUGAGAUUUCUUUUCUUGUUGCCUAUACUCAGAGGUUCUGCUUGAAGAUUCUCUAAUCACUUUCUUUGUUUUUUUUUGCUAAGAUCUACUUCCAGUUUACUUCAAUGUUACUAGACUUAAAAUGUACUAUCUAGCAUACUAGCACAUGUGUAGAUGAUGCCUCCUUUUAUCCUUAAAUGUAUGGAAAAUGGUGUUGUUUUCCCAUCGUUAUGUUUAACAGAAGUGAUGCUAUGUUGUCAUAUUCAAACUAUAUUUCUUUUUUGCAGUAUCUUGGAAGGGGUCAUUAUUUUGAUACUUGCUUUAUAGGAAUUCACUUUCUUUGCCUAGAACUUGUGAUUUAUGGCUGAUGCCAAUUCCACCUAUGUAGGUGCUUCGCAAUUAUAGGUGGAAAAUUUGGCAUGGAGGCACAUAGGAUUGCUGAUUUUGUUUUUGGAUUGGCCCUUGCGAGGGAGACCGAAGCAAACUCCAACAGGUUUCAGGUGUGCAUCCUCUAUUCCUGGUGUUUGUUUCCCUAGCUGACCCUGAGAAUUGUACAAUUUGGUAAAUAUAGUUAGUUACUUAGUUUACUGGCAGUUGCCAUAGUCAGAGCGCGUACAAGUUUGGUUUUACGUAGGUUAGUAGAUGUCAUUCAGUAAUCAGUGAAAAUUAGGACUGAAGAAAGUGUGCCUCCCUAUUUUGUGCAGAUAAAUGCUUAAGGUAGUCGUAGUGUGACCAAAUUAAGUAAACUUAUACAAUAAGCUUCUUUAUUGUUACACUUGUGGAAACUAAACUGCUGCUGUAUCGGUUGUUCUUUUGCAUUUUUCCUCUGCAAAGAUAUAUAUUAACGUACAAACAGUGCGCACAUGUUAGCCUUUUGUCCGCGAUGGCCGUAUUAGCAUGCCUAGCUACCAAGUAUAAAUAGUAUGUGCAUCACUUAGAAAUAGAGCAUCCCAGUGGAAUAUGGAUGAGGUAAGAAUUAGGAAAUUUCUCUCAUAUCUGACUGAUCUAUCGGAAAAACUGAUCUCCUACAAUGUAGAGUGAAUCUCACUAAAGAAAACCCUUCUGUAAAAUAUGUCCAAAUAUAAUAAAUAUUGCAGUUUAACCUCACCAUAAUAAUUAACAACUGCGAACUUCAAGGGACAUUUAUUACUACAGUUUUGGUAUGCCUGAGAUUUUUUUUUGUGAUCUUUGCUUGGAAAGAGGAAAAGGCAUAUUUAAAGACUCAGGUCAAAGGCUGAUCUGCUGUGUUUAUAUGGUUAUGGAUUUCUAAAAUUUCAUUUACCUAACAAUGGAUCUAUGCAGUGCAAUGUUCUGUAGUUUACUACACCUUACCAAUCUCCUUCCCUGUACAAAUGGUGCAAGUAUUUUAGAGAUCUCCACUUAGUGCAAAAGCCUGGUGACUAAUUUCUUUUUGCAUUGCAUACUUUUGAGUAACACAUUGGCUGUUGUAGCUUUUGUAUAUUUAUUUAUUUUCUAAAUAUGGACCCCCCCCCCUGCUCUAAAGGAGUACGAUUUGUAGCUGGCUAACUUAUAUAACACGCACACAUUACUCUGUUUUUCUAAUGAGUGUAUGUGGAUGCAUAAAAUAGUUGAGGAUCAAUUUCUAUUCUCUAUUUCUUUAGUGAGUAUAUGUGGAUGCAUAGAAACAAUUAUCUAUUUUUUUCAAGGAUAUAUGUUGAUGCAUGGAAAACGUGUAUGGUGCGUUUCAUUUCUGCUCAUCCUAAUCUAACCAAACUGACCCCAUGGAUUUGAGGUUGCCUUGCCUGCCAGGUUUGGACAUGUUCUUAUUUGUACUAAAUCACUAAACUAAAUUGUAUAAAUAAAAAAGACCCCCCUUGAUUAGUAACAUUCUGCAAGUGUAUUGUAACAUCCCAAAAUUCUAAAUUUUGGAAUGUUAUAAUAAAUAGAUAGAUUUGAUUGUUUGUUUGAUUGUUGUGUGAUUGAGUGAGUGAAUUUGAAACUUCUAAAAGUUAAAUGAGAGGGAAUAAAAGGACUUUCCCAAACUUUCAUUUUGCUUUUAUGAUCUCCGUGAAUUCAAAUUCUUUUCACCACAAAACCCUGGAGAGAAGAUGACAUGACUUCUUCCAUUUAUUUAAAUGACAAGGGGUGUUGAAAAUAUUUGAAUUUCAUUUGGAAAAUAUUUCCAACCCAGGAAUUUUAUGCAACUCAAUGACUUCCAGGAGAGAAGAUAAAAUGACUUCUUCAAAACAUAUGAAAUAUGAGUUGGGAGUUUCAAAGAAUUAAAUUCAAAGUUCUUUUGAAUUUAUUUUCAAUUUGGAGUUAUUGAGUUUUAUUCAAAUUAUUUUUCUCCAAAAAUAACAUAUAUGGAAAAUACGGUAACAUGAUUCCCUACAAUAGAAAAUUGGAGAGAAAUAAAUUUGAAAUCAUUUUGGUAUUUUUAAAAUGAUUUUUGUUGGAU
rnacentral:lncRNA from 1 species